UACGUAGGGGGCAAGCGUUGUCCGGAUUUAUUGGGCGUAAAGAGCGUGUAGGCGGCCAGACAGGUCCGUUGUGAAAACUCGAGGCUCAACCUCGAGAUGUCGAUGGAAACCGUCUGGCUAGAGUCCGGAAGAGGGAGUGUGGAAUUCCUGGUGUAGCGGUGAAAUGCGCAGAUAUCAGGAAGAACACCUAUGGCGAAGGCAGCACUCUGGGACGGUACUGACGCUGAGACGCGAAAGCGUGGGGAGCGAACAGG
rnacentral:rRNA from 1 species